UGAGCAAUCUGCCCUUCUCUUUGGAAUAAGCGUUGGAAACGACGUCUAAUGCCGAAUACGACCUCCUUUCGCAUGAUCGGAGGUGGAAAGCUCCGGCGGAGAAGGAUGAGCUCGCGGCCUAUCAGCUUGUUGGUGGGGUAGUGGCCUACCAAGGCGACGACGGGUAGCCGGCCUGAGAGGGUGACCGGCCACACUGGGACUGAGACACGGCCCAGACCUCCGUACGGGAGGCAG
rnacentral:rRNA from 1 species